GACGAACGCUGGCGGCGUGCUUAACACAUGCAAGUCGAACGGAAAGGCCCUGCUUGCAGGGUACUCGAGUGGCGAACGGGUGAGUAACACGUGGGUGAUCCGCCCUGCACUUCGUGAUAAGCCUGGGAAACUGGGUCUAUUACCGGAUAGCAGCCAUGUCUUGCGUGAUGGUUGGAAAGUUUUUUCGGCGUUGGGUGAGCUCGCGGGCUAUUGGCUUGUUGGUGGGGUGAUGGCCUACCAAGGCGGCGACGGGUCGCCGGACUGAGAGGGUGGGCGGCGACAUUGGGACUGAGAUGCGGCCCAGACUCCUACGGGAGGCAGAAGGGGGGAAUAUUGCACAAGGGGCACCAGCCUGAUGAAGCGGCGCUGCGUGGGGGAUGACGGCCUUCGGGUUAUAAAAACCUUGCGCUAGGGACGAAGCUUUUUGUGACGGUACCUAGAUAAGAAGCACCGGCUAACUACGUG
rnacentral:rRNA from 1 species